UUAUCUAAGUUAUGUCUGUUCUUAUCAGUUUAAUAUCUGAUACGUCCUUUAUCUGAGGACUACAUAUUAAAUGGAUUUUUGGAACAGGGAGUUGGAAUAGGAGCUUGCUCCAUCCACUCCACGCAUCGAGUGGUAUUUGGUAUUGCAGUAAAAAAAAGAUAAUUUUUU
rnacentral:snRNA from 1 species